GAUGAACGCUAGCGAUAGGCUUAACACAUGCAAGUCGAGGGGCAUCACGAAUUAGCAAUAGUUUGGUGGCGACCGGCGCACGGGUGCGUAACACGUAUACAACCUACCUUCAAUUGGGGAAUAACCUGGAGAAAUUUGGACUAAUACCCCACGGUAAACGGAAGAGGCAUCUUUUUUGUUUUAAAGAUUUAUUGAUUGGAGAUGGGUAUGCGUAGGAUUAGCUAGUUGGUAAGGUAACGGCUUACCAAGGCAACGAUCCUUAGGGGUUCUGAGAGGAAGGUCCCCCACACUGGUACUGAGACACGGACCAGACUCCUACGGGAGGCAGCAGUGAGGAAUAUUGGUCAAUGGUCGAGAGACUGAACCAGCCAAGUCGCGUGAAGGAAGACGGCUCUAUGAGUUGUAAACUUCUUUUGUACAGGAGUAAAGUGAGACACGUGUGUUUAUGCAAGUACUUACGAUAG
rnacentral:rRNA from 1 species